rnacentral:rRNA from 1 species
CUCUGCCAAGAUUUUUUAAAUUGUGGGUAUUUUGACUAUACAAAGGUAUUGAAAUAAGAUUUUAAUUGAAUGUAAGAGAAUGGAAUUUCAGAAAAUACUUUUUUAAUAUUAAAAAUUAAAAUUUUUUUAAUUUGGCAGAAACAAUUAUAACAAUAAGGACAAGAAGCCUAAGUUUAUAAAUUUAAUUAAUAUUUUUUUAUAUAAUUAAAUUUGGCGGGGCGGAAAGAAAUAUAAAACUUUUGAAAU